rnacentral:rRNA from 1 species
UACGUAGGGUGCGAGCGUUAAUCGGAAUUACUGGGCGUAAAGCGUGCGCAGGCGGUUCGUUAAGUCAGCUGUGAAAGCCCCGGGCUCAACCUGGGAACUGCGGUUGAAACUGGCGAACUAGAAUCUGGCAGAGGGGGGUGGAAUUCCACGUGUAGCAGUGAAAUGCGUAGAUAUUGGGAGGAACACCAAUAGCGAAGGCAGCUCGCUGGGACGUUACUGACGCUGAGGCGCGAAAGCGUGGGGAGCAAACAGG